rnacentral:rRNA from 1 species
CGAACGGGUGGAGUAACACGUGGGCAACCUGCCCAAAANAGGGGGAUAACACUUGGAAACAGGUGCUAAUACCGCAUAACCAUAGUUACCGCAUGGUAACUAUGUAAAAGGUGGCUAUGCUACCGCUUUUGGAUGGGCCCGCGGCGCAUUAGCUAGUUGGUGGGGGUAAAGGCUUACCAAGGCAAUGAUGCGUAGCCGAACUGAGAGGUUGAUCGGCCACAUUGGGACUGAGACACGGCCCAAACUCCUACGGGAGGCAGCAG